GCCUCGUUAGCUCAGUUGGUAGAGCGUUACACUUUUAAUCUAACGGUCAGGUGUUCGAGUCCCCUACGGGGCU
rfam:Nippostrongylus brasiliensis genome assembly, scaffold: NBR_scaffold0002021